rnacentral:lncRNA from 1 species
GAGAACCUCAGCCAUGACAAGGAAAGACAGAGAAGAAAGAAGACAACCCACUUUGGUGCUCAUCAAAUUACUCUCCAGCCUGUUCGCCUGGACCUCUGGACCGCAGCCACCAGUGCGGACUUUACUGCAGCAGCUCCAUGCUGCUUCUACAGGAAGGUGGCCAGCGUACUCUGGAUGCAGGAUGCUAGCCUGCUGCACUCGAAACCUGGUGAAACCAAAGAUAGAUGGAUCAUGGGGACCUUAAAACAGUCUAAGAUGGAUGUAAAGGAAAGGGCGUGCCACAGACCACUCCCGGAGAGCUUGAAGUGGGCUGAGAAAAGGUAGAAAUUGCACAUUAUCUGCAGGAACAGGGAACAAACAAAUCUACCUCUAGAGAUCUUCUGUGCCAUCAGCAGAGCAAAAAGGGAGAUUGGAAGCCAAGUGCAGAUAAGUACAGAGACAAAAGCUGAGGGUGACACAUGCUCCACAAAUGGAAACACAGAAAGAAACGAUGAGGAGUUUGAGACAGAAGGAAAAAAGGAUCAAACUUCCAAAUGAAGGAAUACAAAGGGAGUGAAGAUAUAACUGAAACAAAGAAGAGCAUUAUUUGUUGCAUAGAGUAGCAGUAAUUGAAAAAAGGGAUCUGAAGGAGGAAGAGAAGAGAAGGGAGAAAGCACAUACUUUUAAACUAGUUGUUUCAGGGAGAAGAUUGUUCCUUUAUGCUAGUUUUGAUGAUGGAAAAGGCUUUGGUUGCUAUGUGUGUUAUCUGAAAUAUAAUGUUGCUCUUAGCACUCUUUGCCUCAUUCUCUUCUGUUCCAAGGGGAGAAAAAAGGAGGAGGGUGUUAUUUAUUUUCAGUCAGACUGCUAAGACACGUAAAGCCAGUUCUGCCAACAUCACGUCUCACGCCGCAGUACAGCCUAUUGAGAGGACAGCUACUGGCUGAGUCCAGUCUGUGAGUUGUUUCCUUGUGAUUAACUUUUCCAAGCC